rnacentral:lncRNA from 1 species
AUUUGUAAGUCAACAAAAGCGGAAUCUGUUUGUUCAUAGAUUUGCACUAGGCUUGGUAUUCGUUGAGUAUUUGAUUGUUUUAUCAAUAAUUGAAAACCAAAUAUGAUAAAGUGGUGAUAUUGUAUAUACCAACAGGGAGAAAUAUAAGAAUGUAUGGAGGUACUAGAAUGUUUUGACAAGCAGAAAACUUGUCAAGGAAUUAACCUAAGCAGUACAGAAAAGGUAGGAAUUUUUUCUUUUCUCUCUCAUUAUACGGUUAUUAAAUUAAUGUGUUUAGGAAACAAUCUCAAUCUUGUGUAAUAUUGAAAAAUCUUCAUUUUUAAAAAAAACUGUAUCCUCAUUUAAAGUUAACAUGUUUUAUUAAAGUAUAUUUCUAUUUUAUUAAAAACAAUAAUCUAGAACAAUUUUCACUACACAUCCUUGUGGUAUUUUGUCUUCAUUGGCAAGUGUGUUUCUAUAUAUUUAAAGGAAGAUGUGGUAUGACUGUCAACGAGACAACUCUCCAGAGAACAUAUGACACAGAAAUUAACAACUAUAGGUUGCUUUAUGGCCUUCAACAAUGAGCAAAGCUGAUACCCAUUCUGUCUGUUUCAAAUGUUUUAAAUAUUUUUUGAGAGAACCUUACAAAUGAAUGGUAUCUAACUUCACAGAUAUAUUUUUAUGAACAGUUAAAACAAACUUGGGUAAUAAUGGUUAAAGUGAAAUUUAAACAUGGCAGCUGUGUCCAAAAAUAGCAAUAAAAUAGAUAGAGGAUACCAAAUAGAUAGUUAAACUCAUUAGUAGAAGACUUACAGGCAUGGCAAAAAAUGACAGAACAGUCUACAAAACACAACACAGAAAAACUUAUGACUGGGCAGUAUGAACCCCAACACAAGCACAAAUUUUUAAAGUGAUGACUUCAACUUCACCACUUAGAAACCUUGGUUUAUUACUAUCUUACUUAAAUAUUGAGUUUUUCUGACUGCCUUAAAUUAUACCCAAACCUAAUUGUGGUUGAAAUCCAGAAGAUUUGUAAACUAUCCAAAAAAUCUAUAUUUUGAACCUAAUUAGAGGAAAACUGGCAUAGCUUUGAAAGAAAAACUUCACAAAUCAUCAAGUUUUACUUUCUCUAACAUAUCACUUCUCAUCUUUAAAUAGUUGACUUAAGGAGGCUCGCGGGUGUAAGAUUUUCAGAAAAAAAAUUAAACAUUAAUUUUUCAUUACAAAUUUCAUUUAUUACCUUAAGUAGUUGUUACUUUGUCAUAUGGUACAAAAAUAAUUACAAAAAAUCAAUUCGUGUUGGCCCCAGCGAAUUUUUGAAAUGUAGUUAUCAUUGAAAAAGCACCAAAUUAUCUCCCUUUGGUGCAAAAAUGCCAUUUUUUGGCAUUAAAAUUGAAAUAUCUUUUUUAACUCAUCGGUGACCUAUAUUUUUUAUUGUUGUUUUCGAAUAAGCUGUACAUAAACUAAAUAAUUUUAAAUUUUUAGCGAUUUCUGUAAUUUAGUUCUUUUUUUAUAUCGAUAUUACCGCUAUUUCUCCUAUUAGUUCAACAGAAAAAAGGACAUUAACAAAAAUGUAUGCUUCUUUCGAAGGCAGAUUGUGAGCGUAAAUGAACGGUGACCCCAUUUUUUUAUUUCAUUUUUCCAUUAAGUAUAAGAUAAAGUUCAUUUAUAGAAAAAUAUAGAGAAAUCCUAUAUUAAAUAAAAAAAUUCACUUAGACCCGCGAGCCCCCUUAAGACAUGAUUCUACUCCUUUAGGAUUUUAUAGUUCAUUAAUCAGGUUAAGGUUUUCGUUUAAGGAAGUCAUAAGUUUAAGUUUUUGUCGAGCCUGCGACUUUAGUUCCAGAAAGCUUGACAUAGUCUGUGAUCCAUUGGCGGCAGUGUUAACUAACUUCUUAAAAGUGUUAUAUUUUAGAAGGCGGAAGACCUGGAUGCUUCAUACUUUGUAUUUAGAUGCCUUAUCAUGGCUUAUGUUAUAAAAUUUCUUCCAGUUACAUGUCCACUGUCCUUGACUACAUUUUCAUGGUUUAAUGACUACUUGAAAAAAGUUAAGAUUAUUUGUAAUGUUAUUUCUCUCUUAUUAUAUGUAAUAGGAUAACUAUAUUUGGUAUGUGCACACCUUGCAAGGUCCUUAUGCCCGUCAUACAGUUUUCACUUGAUCUCAACUCAUUUCAUGGAUCAGUGAACAAGGUAAAGUAUAUUUGGUGUAUGAAUGGAUUGUAAGAUGUACAUCUUCAACGGGCAGGUGUCAGUCGGAAACCCGGUUGAAAUAGAACAAAAGAAUCGAUGCUCUUUGUUUAGAGAAGGCGAUAAAUGUGUACUGUAUUGUUUACCAUAGUGACAAAAAUUUUAAAAGUUAAUAGAAACAAACAAAAUUACAAUUUUCUUCUCAAUUACGAGGUGUUUUACUUUAAAAACACAAUUUGCAUAAGUUUUCAAUUUAUAUAGUACAUAGUUAGCAGAACAAUUAGAUUUCAAGUCGACGACAUGGGUAUCUUUCAAGUUGGAUGAAGAAAAUGAAUAACCUCCGAUUUUUUUGAAAAAAUUACCACGGAUGGAAAACAUAUCAAUCUAUUAGUUCAAUAAUUUAAGUGUCUGCCCUUCCAUUAUGUCACUCAAGAAAAAAUUCCAAAAAAUGGGUAACAAUUGUAUCGAAAAGAGAAAAUCGAGUGCACCUUUUUAUGCUAGGGCGUGUUUUAGUUGAAUAUUUUGUCUUGAUAUUGUACAAAGUAAGAUUAUUUCAUACAUCGUCUCGCUUCAGAUUCUAUUAUUUUUAUAUAUCAAAGCCUCAGAUUAUCUUUAUAACACAAAAAAAUAAUAGUACUAAAAGAUGAAUUAUAUGGGUUAAGUGAAAUACCUAUCUAAUGAGUCACAAAAACAGAGAAGGUGUGUUCGAAUAGCUAUUUUUUUACUGUAAGUACUUGACGACAGUCUUUCAAGUUGGAUGAUGAAAAUGCAUAUCUUUGAAAAAAUAUAAUUUUUUGUGUGUGAAAACUAGGGUUUAUAGUCUUUAUACACUAAAAAAAAUUAGUCUGCCCUUCCACGAAAUUUUUUAAUAAGAAUUUUUUAAAUUAUAUGAAUUUUCGAAAAUUUGACAACCGAUCAUACAAUAGUUUUAAGUUGAAUCAAUGCAGACAAGAUCAUUAACUGAUGCUCAUUAGCUAGUUGAUACAUUUGUCUUUUAAAAUACAACUGACAUAUAAGGAUCGCAGUGGUGCAAUGUGGAUAAAUAUCGGUUUCAAUGAGCAAAAUUGGUAGCACGUCAUCCCUACAAUGGCUCCACAUUUCUACGAUUGUGAAAAUUAACUGGCGUAAUGGGGAGAUAAUUCUGACGAAGUAAAAUCUUGACUGGUGUCAUCUGACUCUGUUCCUCAUUUUCAUGGUUCAGUGGUUAUAGUUAGGUUUUUUGUGUUUUGGUCUUUUUUUCUUAUACUGUAUGCAAUAGUGUACUGUAUUUGGUGUAUGGAAUAAUUGUAAGCUGUUCAUGUGUAGCAGGCAGGUGUCAUCUGACCUUGACCUCAUUUUCAUUUUUUGUCAAAGUUAAGUUUUUGAUUUUUGGUCUUUUGAAUAACAAUAUAUGCAAUAAGUCAACUAUAUUUGGUGUACGGAAAUAUUUUAUGAUGUUCAUGUCAUAAGGUUUUAUUUGACCUAUAUCUCAUUUUAACAGUUCAUUGCUCAGUGUUAAGUUUUUUGUCUUUGGUCUGUUUUUCUGAACAUAUGGCCUUGAGCUUUUUUUUUAAUUUACUAAAAAGUCUUAAAAAAUUGGAGAAUCUAAAGAAUUGAAAAUGUUCAACACGAAUAAUAAAACAAAUCAAGAGUCUUAAUGAUAAUAUUCGAAUAUCUUGUAAAUGGUGAGAUCCCCAUUCAUUAGCCAGAUAUAUUCCUGUUCUUCAUGUCAAAAUGAUAUACAAAGUGAGUCCCCAGGUAUCAUUCUCACCCCUAUCACUUGAGAAUGCUUGAAUAUCAUGUAAAUGGUCAUAAAUGCUACCCCUUACACCAUAAAUAUUCCUGUUUGUAAUGCCAAGAUAAUUUGAACUAUAUUUAGAGUUAGUCCCAAGGGGUCAUCUCCACCCCUAUCAUUUGAAUAUGUUCAUAUAUCUUGUAAAUGGUUACAAUCUCACCCCUUAACCAAAUAUAUUUUCUGAUUUGUCAUGGCAAUAUGAUUUGAAUAUUAUACAGAGUUAGUCCCAAAGUGUCAUCUCUACCCCCUGUAUUUUGAAUAUGUUCUUAUAUCUUGUAAAUGGUUAUGAUCCCCACCCCUAUGGCUAAGCCAUAUAAUUUAUGCAAGAUCUAUGAAUAAUAUGGAGAGUUUGACCUUUUUUGGGAGACUGUUAGUGUUACAAUCAUUUCUUGUUUUAGUUGAAUUUUGAAUUUAUUCAUUUCUGUUUGAGAAAAUUUAUCAUGUUUAUACAUGUACCAAUAAUUUUGCAUGAAUCUCAGUUUUUGAAGAAAAUAAAUAUUAAAUUGACAAUUUGAUAACAAAAGAACAGAUUAUUUAAUUUGAGUUUUUAUGCAGUUUCUGUUGUAAUAAAUUACCAUUGCAAUAUUUAUUACAUUUGCACAAACCAAGUUAGUGUAAAAUCAACAGGUGAAAUUGGCAAUUAAACUGUCUGUUCAUUGAAAUGAGUCAAACUAUGAAAGUCUUUUUUAAGUUUAUUUUCUUGCUUUAAUCAUUCUUUUGUUAACAGCUCAUUUAUUAAAUUAUUUUUGGACUUGUUCAUAGCAUAAUAUUCUAAUAUACAUACAAAAAAAUCUUGAAUAACCAGAGUUGGUCCAAAGUUUCAACCAUUAAAAUUUUGCAAAGAAUUGCCACAAUUUUGGUAUUUUCCAAUAGAGAUAUCAGUGAGGGCCAGCAGAUUUAAUAACAACUGAUGUUAAAAAGAUUUAGAGAAUUGUGAAUACUCUGCUGUUGUUUUUUUUCUAUGGUCGGGUUGUUGUCUCUUUGGCACAUUCCCCAUUUCCAUUCUCAAUUUUAUUUGAAAAAAAAUAAGCACUUUUGAAAAAAAAUGAAACACCAAAACUCUUAAAAGAGAGGUAAAAGAUACCAGAGGGAAAUUCAAACUUACAAGUGAGAAAAAAUCCAACUGACAACACUAAGGCUAAAAAAGAAAAAAAAAUCAACAACAGACAAACAUAAGUACACAAGACACAACAUAGACAACUAAAGACUGAGCAACAUGAACCCCACACAAAAACUAGGGAUGAUCUCAGGUGCUUUGUGAAUAAAAAUUCACAACAUAGAGUGGGUUGGUUAAAAUAUUUGAAAACCUUUGAAAUAACCUUGGUCACAAUACAUUAAGGACAUAAGUAGAAAUCUAUAUAAAGUUAACAUUCUGACAACCACUGCUGUGCUGUAACUGAGUUUUCUUGUUCAUCGGUCAAAACUCAUUAGACAAUCAUCAUUAAUCAUAAAUUUUGUUUGCACAUGGCUUAAGUACUCAUGUCUGGACAAUUAUGAUGUAAACAGAAAAAGGUUGAUUUUUCACAUUUUACUAUGAUAUAGAAACACUAUAUUAAAAUAUUUAUUUUAAGGUUUUGACUUAAAUAAUUUUACUUGGCCACUUUUUAAGUUGGCUGACCAUACUUGAAGAGAUAAAGUAGCUAAUAUUGCUAAAGGUAUUCACUGUAUUCAUUGCCUGUCCUUUACAAACUUUUCUUUUUUCAUUUCUCCUAAAAGUCAUAUUGAUUAAAAUAUGAACUUUAUUAGCAUUCAGAAGAAUCUUAUUGAAACUUUUAUAUGAAAGGUAUAUUCAUUCAUGUUCUUGAUUCUAAUGUAGGCCAUUUUUUCCAUAGAUGAUAUAAAAUAUAAUGAUAUGGUUCUUUACAAACUGUGUAUCAUGGUUUUGGCCUUAGAAUGAACUUUUUAAUUUUUACUAUGUGUUUGUCUGUGUGUGUGUCGAAAAAAAGGGGGAUCUUUCAUGGACUUGUACAAUGCUUUUAAUUUAACAGCGAAAUGUUGGUGCAGGAAACAGCAUAUUUUUAAUGUUUGCUUGAUUGUCUAGUUUCUUACAGACAUCAAACUUACUGAUUUGAAAGUAUAAGAUUGUAAGGAAAAGUAUAAUAAUGCUAGAAAGUUUAUAUGAGCAUUAUAUUAUAGGAUGUCUUUUCAGUCAUGAAAAAAAAAUCAAAGCAAAAAACACAUUAUUCUUCCCUUACUUUGGAUUCAGCCAAUUGAAAAAGAUUUUAUGUCAUGUACUACUGUAAAUUCAGAAAUUAUUGCGUGCAUUUAUUAUUGCGAUUUUGUCAUUUUAGACUUAAAUGCGAUUUUAAUUUUUUACGAUUUUGAGAAAAAUCAUGUUUAAUUUAUACACAAAUUUUAAAAUGUGAGUUUAAAUUAUUGCGUUUACAACUCUAUAGCAUUUUUCGCAAUAAUAAAAACCUCGCAAUAAUUUCUGAAUUUACAGUAUUUGAAAACAGCUGAUUCAAACUUGGUGUUAGAUAUUGAAUGACAAAACAACAUUUUAAGUGUGAUCCAUUUACGUUGCAUUAAGUUGAAUAAUGAUGACUAGUUAAUUUGAACAAGCUUGAAAUUAAGAUAUUGUCAGACCCUUUUUUGUUUAAAACCUGUUUGUUUAAAAAUAUCAAUAGAUAUGCCAUUGUGUUAAUUGUAAUGUUAAUAUUUGUGUGUAGGAUGAUGUGAAGCUGGACCACUAUCAAUUUCCUAUCAAAUAGCAAUUUUCACUACGUAGAAACUUUUUUAUAAUAUGAAAAAUCAUUAUUCAAGAUAGUUUUUUAAUGAUUAAACAUUGAUCUUGAUCGUACCGGUGUAGAAUGUCCAUGAUAAAUUGCCAUUCUAUAGAGAACAAUAUCCUGCAGUUCAGUAAAAGCCAAUCUAGUUCACUUUUCUAUAAUAUAUAAUGGCUGAUUAUAAUACAGCAGUAUAAUAGAAAUAAGAAAUUCAUAUUGAACAUGCAGUGCUCUUUUUUUUUAAACAGAAAAAUAACAUUUUUUUCAUUGACAGAGCACUUGAAACUGUUUAUGUAAAUUGCUAUUUAAUUCUAUAUAAAGGCAAACAUAUGUUUAAAAUUAAUUUCAAUAAAGAUGAUAAAGAAAAGAAAUGCUCAUAUAUUUUUCAUCAAUAUAACUAGUAUUUUUCCAAGUAUAAGUGGAUGGGGCAUAUAGAGUUAGCAGUAGUCUUGUUUGCUUCCUUUGUUUUAGAUCUGUCAAACCAGCUUUUAAUAAUCUUUAUCAUUUGAUCUCGGGCAAUCAUAUGACAGCUCCUAAUUUUUAUGUACUAUUUAAAUGGUAUUUCACCAAUUAUAAUCAUUUUAGACAACAUUAAUUUUCACACAUUUCUUUCAAGACUGGCUUUUUAUCUCUUUCCAAUUACUUUACUUCCUCCACAAAUAAAAAAUGGCUGCCAUGAUGUAGCCGAAUGUGCUGACACAUCAUCUUACUAUUUGAAUAAAAUAUACAUGAAUAUAAUUUUGUCAGAUCAUUUUGAAUUGAUGAUGCUCAAGCUCUUGCAGCCAAUAAAACCCUGUUAAUAAUUAAAGUACAAAUAAAAAGUUUGAAGUAAAUCUUGAUACAAUUUACUUGACUCUGGCUUGAUCAGCCUUUUGGCCUGGACAUAAUAAGCGGCGUAUCUUCAUAUUACUUUGUUUUGGUCCUAAAUAUGAAUGUUAUAUUUGCCACUGAACAUUAAGCAACCAUUGAUCAUCAAAUAAUCAAACAUAAAAUGUGUCAAUGUGGUUGAAAUAUCUUCUGUGAAACACUAUUAGAUUGACAUCACUAAGAUGUUGUAUUAGUGUUUUAUACCACACUGAAUUUAUCAGACAAAAGACUAAGGAAGACAUUUGUUUUUGUAAGAACUUUUAGGCUACCUGGAGUCUUUAAUUGAAAUAUUGGUUAUAUAUAUGAACACAUAUGAUAUAAAUGCCAAUGAGACAACUCUCCACCCAAGUCACAAUUUGUAAAAGUAAACCAGUACUGGUCAAAGUAAGACUUCAACAGCGAGCCUUGGCUCACACACCAAACAGCAAGCUAUAAAGGGCCCCAAAAUUGAACAGUGCAAAAUCUUUCAAACAAGAAAAUCAGCUGGCUAAUCUAAAUAAAAACCCAGAAACGAGAACAACUUAUGAACCACAUCAACAAACAACAACCACUGAACAACAGGUUCUUAGAUUAGAACAGGUGCAUACAAAAGCAGCGUGUUUAAAGGUUUUAACAGGCACCAACUUUCACCCUAACAUAGAAAGACACACUAUAAAAUAUCAAUUGAAAUAUUGUUUCCCGGUAUGUACAAUUUGAAAAGUUUAUCAGAUUUUGAAAAAGUAGUUUGUAAAUGGUAAUACAUUUUUAAAUACUAAAAUAUCUUGCAAAGGUUAACUAGAACAAGGUAUAGAAAUAUUGGGGGGAAGGGGUUGUUUGAUUUUGUUCACUAUCAUAAUCUGUCAGAAAGGAGGGAGCCUUACAUUUAAGACCUGUGUUUCCAUUAUGCCAUACCAACUGAAUGUUGAAGAUCAUUUGCAACAAUUUCUUUCCCCAAUCCAACAAAUAUCUUUUUCUAGUGGCAGACCAAAUUGCUCAUCCCCAUUACGUAUGAAAUAUUUGUCACUGGACAUUAUGAAAGCACAAUUGAUCAAUUAAUAUAUUAAAAUAUAUGUCUUAUGAAAAACAUUUUUAAAGAUUAUAUUUUAUAAGUGUAUGGGGACCUUGGGCGUAAUUUGAGAUAGGUAUUUAUUGAAUGGUUUGCCGUUAUCUGUUAAAGACCAGUGUAUAUAUUGUGCUACUGGUGAAAGAAUUUUAAACUGUCAUUUUAUUAAAUGUGUUGAAAUUUUUUGAUAAUAUAUUAGUACUUGAUUUUUGUGAUUUUUAUCUUGUAGUACCCAAAUAUUUGAAGAGGACCGCUCCUACCUAGAACGAUAUCAAUUUCAAGGGUACACUUUCAAUAGAAAGUAGGUAUUAAUUUAAAUAUUACUUCAAUCUGAGAUAAAUACCCCUAUUUUUUUCACUACUGUGUUUUUAUUAAAGAAGAUAAUGAUGGACGUGUUACCAUUAUGGAUAAAUAUCAGUAUUCAGUACGAAUUUCUAUAUGGAAGCUUCUAUAUUCUGCUUGAAUAGUAAUUUAAAAUCCUAUUUUGGGUUACAGCUUAAUUUUAGUUAGACAAUGAAUUUAGACGAGUUGGUUAAAUGGAGUCGACCACAGCUCAGUAAAUAUACCUAUUUUGUAUAGGAUUCUUCUUAAGUUUUUUAACUUUUAUCAGUGACAAACAAUGAAGCACAAAAGGACUUUUAAUAAUUUCUCCUUUCAUAUGUGUAAGGCUUUUGUGUAUUGUAGAAUAUGGUAGAAAAAGUAAUUACUGCAGUUUGGAAUAAUGGGACUAAUAAUGAACAGAAGUUAUUACAAGAAGAAUAGAAUUUUUUUUGUCUGUGGUCUAUAUGGAAAGCUAUGGUA